AAAAAGAUAAGCUAAAGUUAAAGCUAAUGGGUUCAUACCCCACUUAUGAGUUGUUUUCUCUCUUUUUA
rnacentral:tRNA from 1 species